rnacentral:lncRNA from 14 species
AGCUGCCCUGACAUCUAAUCCAGUGCCUUUAUAUUGGUUGCCUUAGGUCACCGUGUGGUGCGGCAAGCAUCCCAGCUCCCAUCCACUGGGAUAUUCCUGAGUUGUCCAACAUUUCCCAGCCCUCUGCCAGUGAUGGGUGGCAAAACCAAGGAGGAAAACCCUCACAACCUGCUUCUCUGCAGCCGUUUACACAGUGCCGGGAUGAUGUCUUGGAUGCAGCUUACCCAGACGACCGCUUUGAUUGGGGGUUACAACAGCUUUUCAAAAGGAUGCAAUUACACCCAAGUAGAACCACAUGUGAAAGGCAAGGCUGGCUCCCUGCUCCGUGGCCUCUCUGCACUUGCUUCACCUGCACAGGGAUCCAACAGUGGAAGAAACCCCAUAGGCUGCCAAGGGGAGACCUGUGGGCAGUGGGAAUAGGUGGAGGAAAAUGCUCUGGGAUGCUGGCAGGACCAAGCCUGGAAGGGGAAGGCUGGGAAGUCCUGCCCCAUCCUCUUGGCUCUCUCAACCACUGCCUUGCCUUCAUUAUCCCUGCAUCCCUGUGCAGGCCAGGUGGGGAAGCUGCCACACUGUUUUCUCCUUUCCCUGCUCCUUUUCCAAUCCCUUUCAGUGCAGCACAGACCAGAGCAGCCGCAGAGCUCAAGGUAUGA